UUUUCUUGUUUUCUAGAAAUUCAUUCUAUGCUUGUGAAAUUUGGAUUUGGUUUCACGUUUGGUCAAAUUUUGAUUUUGCUACCUGCUUAUUUGGUAUUUGUCAAAAUAUAAAUUCAGCAGAUCCUUUGUACAAAAUCCAGACAUUGGGAAUUUGAGCCUGGAGAAGCAGCACUAGUAACUUUGAGGAAAUGAUAAGCUUCUCUGCACUCACCUGCUCCAUCGGAUCUCUCCCUGCACUGCCACUGGAAAUGUGAGAAAGGUGGGGUGGCAAAGACAGUAGAAACGAAGGCAUUGCCCUGCACUUCAGUCUUUAGCAGAGAUACUAUACUGUACUAGGAGUUCAUCAUCAACAAAGAAUGCGACCCUCAGCCAGGACCUAGGAGAUAACUAUGAAUUUGUACUUCUGCUGUCUCCACCAUGCUAUUUAGUGGAGAUGAGGAAAGGACUUAUGAAAAUAUCAAGGUCUCUUGAAAAUUAUUUAAGUGUCACACAGAGUGGGAGAAAAUUUUCGCAAACCAUGCAUCGGACAAAGGACUAAUAUCCAGAAUCUGCAAGGAAAACAAACGAAUUGGUGAGAAAACUGAAGUCCAGAGAAUUUAAAUAACUCUUCUGAAUGCCUGCAGCAAAUCUUGAAGUCCUGAGGCCAACUCCCAGUGCUGUAUUCUGCAUUCCAGAGCACAAUUCGUCGUCUUGGAUAAAUGGUAGUCCAACUUGCAACAUAGACUGCAUCACAUCAUUUGUUAAUGGAACUAUGUAAUAGGAAAGUUAUGGCUGAAAUUAAUUUUGGAAUUCACCUAAUGGAAUUUAUUACUUUGUAGGUAAAAAAAGUGAGGUCAAAAAAAGUUGUGUAAAAUGAAAAGGAAACUGCCUAAAGUAACAGUGUUAGAUGAAUGUGCAUAUUUUAUCAACUAGUUCAGCAUUAGCUAGAUCAUGUAACAACCUUGUCAUAUCUAGGCUCAUCUUUUUGUUUUGAGUUAUUUAAGUGUCAUCUUCUUAACUUUCACUAGAAAUGGUCCUGUAAUUAUCUUUCACCCUACAAUACUAAUAAACAUAUAGUCAAAUAAAGUUGGCAAAACAGGCAGCCUUUAAAAGCAGAGAUGCCUAUUCUCUAUUGCAAUAUUUUUAAAGCCUUGCUUUAUACUGAUAAGCAUGAAAAUCUCAUUUUCUUUCUUCCUUACCACAAGAUGCAUAUAUUUAUCCAAGAAGAUUUUGUCCAGUUUCAUUCUGAGCAGUUUGUAUCAUGAAAACAAUACAUUUGUUUCAUUUUCGAAAUACAAAAUUAUUAUGUUGUCUAUGCUUUUCAAACCAUACAAUCUGUGGAGUUUCCUUUUUGAGAAUCAC
rnacentral:lncRNA from 10 species